rnacentral:rRNA from 1 species
GAUGAACGCUGGCGGCGUGCCUAAUACAUGCAAGUCGAGCGAACAGACGAGGAGCUUGCUCCUCUGACGUUAGCGGCGGACGGGUGAGUAACACGUGGAUAACCUACCUAUAAGACUGGGAUAACUUCGGGAAACCGGAGCUAAUAACGGAUAAUCUAUUGAACCGCAUUGUUCAAUAGUGAAAGACGGUUUUGCUGUCACUUAUAGAUGGAUCCGCGCCGCAUUAGCUAGUUGGUAAGGUAACGGCUUACCAAGGCAACGAUGCGUAGCCGACCUGAGAGGGUGAUCGGCCACACUGGAACUGAGACACGGUCCAGACUCCUACGGGAGGCAGCAGUAGGGAAUCUUCCGCAAUGGGCGAAAGCCUGACGGAGCAACGCCGCGUGAGUGAUGAAGGUCUUCGGAUCGUAAAACUCUGUUAUUAGGGAAGAACAAAUGUGUAAGUAACUAUGCACGUCUUGACGGUACCUAAUCAGAAAGCCACGGCUAACUACGUG